rnacentral:tRNA from 1 species
GUCUUCGUAGUAUAUAAAAUACCYUGGUCUUGUAAACCAAAAAAGGAGAACAUGUGCCCUCCCUAAGACU